UACGGAGGGUGCAAGCGUUAUCCGGAUUUACUGGGUUUAAAGGGUGCGUAGGUGGAUAAGAAAGUCAGUGGUGAAAUCUCCGGGCUUAACCCGGAAACUGCCAUUGAUACUAUUUAUCUUGAAUACUUUGGAGGUAAGCGGAAUAUGUCAUGUAGCGGUGAAAUGCUUAGAUAUGACAUAGAACACCAAUUGCGAAGGCAGCUUACUACACAGUAAUUGACACUGAGGCACGAAAGCGUGGGGAUCAAACAGG
rnacentral:rRNA from 1 species